CACACUCAGACACCACCAAUCCCUCGCCGUGAGAGGAUGUCAUAAACUAAGCCCCGCCUCCAUCUCUCCCCACUCCCCGCAGGCUUGCUAUAAAUACAAGGAUGGAUAUGAAUAUGCUGUCUUGUUCUCCAAGCUCUCUACUCUCCUUCAUUUCUCAUCCGUCGUUUCUCUUUUCUCAUUCUCACUCCUGCUAUGUGUUGAUGCCUAUGACCUUGCAUUGUGUUCAUUGACCAGCAGCAGUACACACGUAGAUAUAUGGCUUGUGGUCACACACACACACACACACACACACACACACACACACAGAGAGAGAGAGAGAGAGAGAGAGAGAGAGAGAGAGAGAGCGCCAAGGGGGUAAUUUACAGCUAUGAAUCCACUAGAUUCGACCACCCUGCAGACGAUGUGGCUUUAAAGCAGAUCCUGGGAGUUGUGACCAAAUCAAUAAUAAGGAUGGGUCACGGGGAAACCUGGAGCCUAUCCCAGGGAGCAUCGGGCACGAGGCAGGGUACACCCUGGACAGGGUGCCAAUCCAUCGCAGGGCACAAGGGAAGUAACAUUUUAUUUUUUGUAGUAGCUUAACACAGGAGUUUUAAAAAAUAAACAUCAUCAUUAAUAUUAUAAAUAUGUAUACAUUCUACAUUUCCCAGUUUUCAUUAUUCCCGUUUAAAAAAAAAUUGUUACAGAAGUACAUCUCAUGUAUACAGUAUAUGAAUAAUAACAGCAACAACACCACCACCACCACCACCACCACCAACAACA
ensembl:lncRNA